rnacentral:lncRNA from 1 species
CUGGAGUCCCGGCCGGGCCAGCAAGGCCAAGGCCACUGUCCACUGUGAUGCAGCGUCGGCGUCUGCUUCUCCACUGGAAGAAGCAAGUUUGCAGUCAGAGCGUAAGGUGCAACUGCACACUCCGUGGCCACCUCCGUUUCCGUAUUCUUUUUUCUUUUGAUUUUAUUUUUUAUUUUUGAGAUGGAGUCUCGCUCUGUCACCCAGGCUGGAGUGCAAUGGUGUGAUCUCAACUCACUGCAAGCUCUGCCUUUCAGAUUCAAGAGAUUCUCCCGCCUCAGCCUCCUGAGUGGCUGGGAUUACAGGCACAAACAUACCCAGCUAAUUUUUUGUAUUUUUAGUAGAGGCGGGGUUUCACCAUGUUGGCCAGGCUGGUCUCGAACUCCUGACCUCAGGUGAUCCACCCCACUCGGCCUCCCAAAGUGCUGGGAUUACAGGCAUGAGCUACCGCGCCCGGGAUCAUUUCUUAUCCUAAUGUAGAAAUAGGUGUUGGGCUCCACAACGCCAUGGGAGCGUUUCUCCUGAGACGUGAGCUAACAUGUGUGAGGAGUCAGGCUGCAGUGACUUGUGCUCCUCCUAAUAACCUCACCUGGACCCAUUCGUCAGGACUACACAAAGGGAAAAUUACUUGAGUUAAUACAAAUGAGAACAUUUCUUAAGGAAUUGAGCUCUUCAAAAUCCCAGAUCACCACAAUUAUUUAUGUUAUGGCCGAUUGGCCACCUAUUGGGAUACUGUGAAUGGAGAAAAAGAACACAGGAUUUCCAGAGACAUUGGUAACGCUGUCAUCCUCAGACUGAGACUUCACAGGGCUGGCUAUGAACUCCUUAAAAAAAAAAUAGCCCCUAUCACACUUCAGAAUAUAAAAAUGCCUUCUGGAGAGUCUAAGAUAGGCUCACCGUUUAUCAUUGCAAAUGAUGAUCUAGCAAAGUUCCAGGUUUGGUGCCAAAAAAUUAUAGAUACUAAAAUAGCGACCCGAAUGCCUCUGUGCAGCUCCCUGCAUAUUUUCUGUUCACGUCAUUUUUAUAAGGAACAGUGACAUUCCUUUUAAUUGCCUCUGAAUUUAUUUAUUCAGUCUAUGUCAAAUCUAGCAAAGCCAUAUUUUUUUCUCGAUUUUUGAAAACACGCAUGAGCACCUUGUCACAUGUACCCCUUUUUUUCUUAGGGAAAAGAAAUCAAAGAAAGAAAGCAAUGAUAUAGAAACUGGCAUUUAUUUAAAAUCACUCUGUGGAACACCUUAAUUAGAACCCGCACAGUUCUCUAUGCAGCAUCUUACGUUUCUGAGUUUAUGACAACUGUAAAAAUCAUUUAUAGCAACAUGAAAAUCAACUUCUGAGUUGUCUUAGAUAAAUCUGACAGAUUGGAAGGCCUCUUUGGAAACCAUAAUGAGAACUUCAGAAAGAUGAGGACUUGAAACGUCUUCUGCUUGUCUUGCUGGCGAUCCGUGCUGCAGAUGUUGAUAUUUUAGGUGGUGGAA